UCUCUCUCACAUCCCCGUGGAACAACAUCUUCUCUGGCGUGCUCUUUCUCUUUUGCUCUCCCUAACCCUAGAAGCGUAGCUCCGGCGAAGAUGAUGUUGCCGCGGCUGAGAACCACUUAUCUCUCCCACCUCCUGGGGCUCCAAUCCUGUUGGGAACCUCACCAACGCACGCCACCGUUAGCCCGAUGUGCCGACGCUGAGCGUGGUGGCGCACAAGAAGGGCAUGCUGCUCAUCGUUAACAACACCAGGUCCUCUUCUUCCAAUUAUCCUCUCAGUUAACUUCAAGCUCAAGUUAGAGUAGAGAGCAGCAACACAAGUAUAUUUUCAAGCUCAACUUCAGAUAUUUUAAGAAAGAGGACAGAGAGGAUGAAUUAGAUAAACUAAGGUUUUAUCUCUUGACGCUCUUGUGUCAUCUUGGACACCACAACAUGCGGAUAAUCCAUUUUGGGCCCAACCAUGAGUGGCCGAUUAAGUCGUACAAUCUAUGUAGGCAUCCUUCCUUUAGAUAUUUGGGAGUCUGAAGUUAAGGAUAUAUUUUACAAGGAGAACUGAUGGUUAAAGAUUGAGAGGGUUGAAGAUGAAGAGGAUACAUGAAGCUUUUUACUUUUGUGUAAUCAAGUCAAAAAUAUUUUAUAAUAAAAGUAGACAAAUAGUGUAAAACUCUUUCCAUUUUGUUAUUAAUCAAAAUAUAUUGCACUUGAGCUCAUUACUUGUCAAUAAAAAUCAAUGAAAU